UACAGAGGUGGCAAGCGUUGUUCGGAAUUACUGGGCGUAAAGGGCGCGUAGGCGGUCCUGUAAGUCCCGUGUGAAAUCCCCCGGCUCAACUGGGGAAUGGCACGGGAGACUGCGGGGCUUGAGUUCGGGAGAGGGAAGCGGAAUUCCGGGUGUAGCGGUGAAAUGCGUAGAUAUCCGGAGGAACACCGGUGGCGAAGGCUGCUUCCUGGACCGACACUGACGCUAAGGCGCGAACGCUAGGGGAGCAAACGCG
rnacentral:rRNA from 1 species